UACGGGGGGGGCAAGCGUUGUUCGGAAUUACUGGGCGUAAAGGGCUCGUAGGUGGCCAACUAAGUCAGACGUGAAAUCCCUCGGCUUAACCGGGGAACUGCGUCUGAUACUGGAUGGCUUGAGUUUGGGAGAGGGACGCGGAAUUCCAGGUGUAGCGGUGAAAUGCGUAGAUAUCUGGAGGAACACCGGUGGCGAAAGCGGCUCACUGGACCGUCACUGACGCUGAGGUGCGAAAGCUAGGGUAGCAAACGGG
rnacentral:rRNA from 1 species